rnacentral:lncRNA from 1 species
GAGCAUAAUCAAGACGAGCGUCUCGGUUGCCUUUCCCUUUGUUGAUUUGUAGAGGAAUGUCUUGCUUAUUGUGGAUGUAGCUGAAGUAGGGGUGAAGGUUAACUAGCAACGGAGUGUUGCCGGUUUUUACAAGGAACUGAAUAAUCGGCUGAAUAAAUUGUCGAACUUCGGGCCUGAAGUUGCCACUUGAGGGUGGGAAAGAUUGGGCGAGGACUUCUGAUUGAUCGAUGGCGGUGGAGACUCUGAUUCUGUUUUGUAAUCCAAACGCCGAAAGAGCGUUGCGGAUGUUUUGCAUUGCUGGGAGCAGAAACUGCGCAAACCGGGCGUUCUGAGAGUGGAAUGGAGUGAUUCCAUUCCCGACAGCAAUGAACCGGAAGUUAACGUUGGAAUAGUCUAUGACGUUCCCUUGGACCCACUCGUGGGCGUUCCUCUGGUCGGACGCCACCCAGUGAAGGUGGUCGUUGGGUACGCCAAGAAUCACUUCGAUACCGGAGUUCCUGAGGGCUUGGAGAGCGUUACGGUCAGGGCUAUAGAGUCUCAUCCUCCGUAUCUUCAUCGACUGGGCUAGAGGCACGGCUUCUUGUGCGGAUGGUUGAUUGUUGCCGAAUGAUCCGUAACACACACCCACAUCUUGCGGCCCAGCACCUGCCGAACAACAUAUAAACACUCAACAGUUAAUAUUUCGAAAAGAUUACUCAAGUAUCAUCACAUACAGUGGCCGUGAAUCAGAAAUGAGUAGUAUUAGGUGUAUAAAAUUGUGUAUAGAAAAUUUGUAUAUAAUUAUGUGACAAUUGAUGUGGUUGGUUUUAAUUGAGCUUGUUGAUGUAAAUACAGAGAGCUCAAUUUAAUUAAAACCCACCACACAUUAGUAUGUAUAAAAUUUUGUAUACAUUUACGUGAACCAAGUAUUUUCCAUGAGAAAUAUGUGUUUUAGAGCACCUGAAGUAGCUUGCAAGAAGGCAAAGAGCGAGGAAAGUAGCAGCAGCAACGUGGUCACCUUUGGAGACAUAUUGUGGAACUUAACUANACUGUCUUUAAAAGUUGAUCCGGUACUUGGCUUGUUUAUUAUUCCAGAAGAUGCCCCAGUGCCUCAGAUUCUCUUCGCUCUUCCUGUCCUCAUCAAACAUAGAAAAGAUGUAAGUCUCUAUACGCUUCUUAGGCCUCUUCGGUGUUCCACUGUUGCGUACAUGCCUAAUCAAGUUAUUGUUGUGAGUCUCCGCGUUUUGAUUGCUCGCUGCAGGUCCUCCGGCUGUAGGCCAUCCGACUUCAGAAACCACGAUGUCUAAGGAGUUUCCACCAACCUUCUCCAUGGCAGAGUGUACGCUAUCAACCAUGGCAUCAAAUGCAUUCGUAUACCUCAGCCAUGCAUCUUGUACCAACAUGUUUGAAGACCUCAUGAGAGCAUAAUCAAGACGAGCGUCUCGGUUGCCUUUCCCUUUGUUGAUUUGUAGAGGAAUGUCUUGCUUAUUGUGGAUGUAGCUGAAGUAGGGGUGAAGGUUAACUAGCAACGGAGUGUUGCCGGUUUUUACAAGGAACUGAAUAAUCGGCUGAAUAAAUUGUCGAACUUCGGGCCUGAAGUUGCCACUUGAGGGUGGGAAAGAUUGGGCGAGGACUUCUGAUUGAUCGAUGGCGGUGGAGACUCUGAUUCUGUUUUGUAAUCCAAACGCCGAAAGAGCGUUGCGGAUGUUUUGCAUUGCUGGGAGCAGAAACUGCGCAAACCGGGCGUUCUGAGAGUGGAAUGGAGUGAUUCCGUUCCCGACAGAAAUGAACCGGAAGUUAACGUUGGAAUAGUCUAUGACGUUCCCUUGGACCCACUCGUGGGCGUUCCUCUGGUCGGACGCCACCCAGUGAAGGUGGUCGUUGGGUACGCCAAGAAUCACUUCGAUACCGGAGUUCCUGAGGGCUUGGAGAGCGUUACGGUCAGGGCUAUAGAGUCUCAUCCUCCGUAUCUUCAUCGACUGGGCUAGAGGCACGGCUUCUUGUGCGGAUGGUUGAUUGUUGCCGAAUGAUCCGUAACACACACCCACAUCUUGCGGCCCAGCACCUGCCGAACAACAUAUAAACACUCAACAGUUAAUAUUUCGAAAAGAUUACUCAAGUAUCAUCACAUACAGUGGCCGUGAAUCAGAAAUGAGUAGUAUUAGGUGUAUAAAAUUGUGUAUAGAAAAUUUGUAUAUAAUUAUGUGACAAUUGAUGUGGUUGGUUUUAAUUGAGCUUGUUGAUGUAAAUACAGAGAGCUCAAUUUAAUUAAAACCCACCACACAUUAGUAUGUAUAAAAUUUUGUAUACAUUUACGUGAACCAAGUAUUUUCCAUGAGAAAUAUGUGUUUUAGAGCACCUGAAGUAGCUUGCAAGAAGGCAAAGAGCGAGGAAAGUAGCAGCAGCAACGUGGUCACCUUUGGAGACAUAUUGUGGAACUUAACUACUAGACUUUGGAUGGAUGGAGCUUUACCUAAAGCUUGAAGCAGUAUUUAUACAGGGAAAGAAAGAGGAUCGAGUUGGCUCGAGAUUGUUCGGAAGUUUGUACAUAAUAGGCGCCAGCAGCGGCAUGCCGCAUGAAUUCAUGCAAAGUUGAUAAUAAUGGAGAUGAAGUAUCAGAUAACUAUGGCCUAAAAUUUGUAUACGUGGCGAGCUACAAUAAUUUGUUUGAAUACGUGGCAAUAUAAAUAUAUUAUAAAUCAACAAAAUGAUAUAUUCUAUAAAAAAAGUAAAAAGAAAAUAAACAUGUUACGCAGAUGAUUGUUUGAUUUUAUAUAUGAAAAAUGCUUGGUGCACAUAAUUGUGUACAAAAACAUGUACAUAAUGACAUGUGGUAGAUUUUAAUUGGAUGACCCCCUGCAUUUACACCAACCAUUCCAAUUAAAAUCCACCACAUUACUUGCCAUAUCAUUAUGUACAAAUUUUCUGUACACAAUUAUGUCCACCUAGCAUUACUGUAUAAUAUUUUCUCGACAAAUAAUAUCCGAAUGCUAGCUAUUCUUGCGUAAUAUUUUCCUUUUCCUAUGCCAUCGACUAGAAUGGACUAGAACCUACGCUACUGUAUAAUUACUUUCUCGACAAAUAAGCCUUAUAACCUAAUAAAUUAAUAUUUGUUUUAAUAAAUUUUCGGGGUGAAACAAGAUCGAACCAUGACCUAGAACAGCUCUUAACCAUUUGAAUUAUCCAACCGUGCUUCUGUACAAUUGUUUUAAUUAUAAAUAAAAUGUUGGCAAUGUACGGAUCGACCCCAUAUUUUAAAUGAAACUAUUUCCUCUUACAAUUAAUUCACACAGCAAUUUAGAUUGAGUCCAACGUACAAGUAAUGAAAAAUAAUUUUUAAUNNNNNNNNNNNNNNNNNNNNNNNNNNNNNNNNNNNNNNNNNNNNNNNNNNNNNNNNNNNNNNNNNNNNNNNNNNNNNNNNNNNNNNNNNNNNNNNNNNNNNNNNNNNNNNNNNNNNNNNNNNNNNNNNNNNNAAUGAACCGGAAGUUAACGUUGGAAUAGUCUAUGACGUUCCCUUGGACCCACUCGUGGGCGUUCCUCUGGUCGGACGCCACCCAGUGAAGGUGGUCGUUGGGUACGCCAAGAAUCACUUCGAUACCGGAGUUCCUGAGGGCUUGGAGAGCGUUACGGUCAGGGCUAUAGAGUCUCAUCCUCCGUAUCUUCAUCGACUGGGCUAGAGGCACGGCUUCUUGUGCGGAUGGUUGAUUGUUGCCGAAUGAUCCGUAACACACACCCACAUCUUGCGGCCCAGCACCUGCCGAACAACAUAUAAACACUCAACAGUUAAUAUUUCGAAAAGAUUACUCAAGUAUCAUCACAUACAGUGGCCGUGAAUCAGAAAUGAGUAGUAUUAGGUGUAUAAAAUUGUGUAUAGAAAAUUUGUAUAUAAUUAUGUGACAAUUGAUGUGGUUGGUUUUAAUUGAGCUUGUUGAUGUAAAUACAGAGAGCUCAAUUUAAUUAAAACCCACCACACAUUAGUAUGUAUAAAAUUUUGUAUACAUUUACGUGAACCAAGUAUUUUCCAUGAGAAAUAUGUGUUUUAGAGCACCUGAAGUAGCUUGCAAGAAGGCAAAGAGCGAGGAAAGUAGCAGCAGCAACGUGGUCACCUUUGGAGACAUAUUGUGGAACUUAACUACUAGACUUUGGAUGGAUGGAGCUUUACCUAAAGCUUGAAGCAGUAUUUAUACAGGGAAAGAAAGAGGAUCGAGUUGGCUCGAGAUUGUUCGGAAGUUUGUACAUAAUAGGCGCCAGCAGCGGCAUGCCGCAUGAAUUCAUGCAAAGUUGAUAAUAAUGGAGAUGAAGUAUCAGAUAACUAUGGCCUAAAAUUUGUAUACGUGGCGAGCUACAAUAAUUUGUUUGAAUACGUGGCAAUAUAAAUAUAUUAUAAAUCAACAAAAUGAUAUAUUCUAUAAAAAAAGUAAAAAGAAAAUAAACAUGUUACGCAGAUGAUUGUUUGAUUUUAUAUAUGAAAAAUGCUUGGUGCACAUAAUUGUGUACAAAAACAUGUACAUAAUGACAUGUGGUAGAUUUUAAUUGGAUGACCCCCUGCAUUUACACCAACCAUUCCAAUUAAAAUCCACCACAUUACUUGCCAUAUCAUUAUGUACAAAUUUUCUGUACACAAUUAUGUCCACCUAGCAUUACUGUAUAAUAUUUUCUCGACAAAUAAUAUCCGAAUGCUAGCUAUUCUUGCGUAAUAUUUUCCUUUUCCUAUGCCAUCGACUAGAAUGGACUAGAACCUACGCUACUGUAUAAUUACUUUCUCGACAAAUAAGCCUUAUAACCUAAUAAAUUAAUAUUUGUUUUAAUAAAUUUUCGGGGUGAAACAAGAUCGAACCAUGACCUAGAACAGCUCUUAACCAUUUGAAUUAUCCAACCGUGCUUCUGUACAAUUGUUUUAAUUAUAAAUAAAAUGUUGGCAAUGUACGGAUCGACCCCAUAUUUUAAAUGAAACUAUUUCCUCUUACAAUUAAUUCACACAGCAAUUUAGAUUGAGUCCAACGUACAAGUAAUGAAAAAUAAUUUUUAAUAUCGGAGUACGAGUUUUGUCCAGGCUACAGCUUGGACAUAAAUUUUAACUCUAUUUUGACAAUCUCUCUACUCGGUAUUGCAAGUUUCAGAGUUAUUAACAUAUAUAAAAUAAUUAAUAAAAUUAUUAAAUAAUUAUAUUAUUAUAUUAAUUUUCUUAUAAUAAUAACUUUUCUUAUCAUUAGAGUCGGCUGUAUAUAUAUAUAUAGAUCUCACUAUUGAGUUGGAGUACAUUAUAAUAAAAUGGUUAUUUUUUUUAUCGUUUCUCCGUGCUUUAUCACACAUGAAUUUGGAUACUUAAUGUUAGUAUUCAAAGAAAUCAAGACUUAAUAAAAGUGUCAUUAGUAGUAAAGUAGUUAUCGGAAAUUGUUGAGCACACAAUAGUUUGAUUUUCAUAGCUUCGAUCCUGUGAGCCACGGUUACACAGAGAAGAUCCUUAUUUAGUACAUCUAUAAUCUAUAUACUUGGUCUUGCAUACUACUGGCUACUGAAAUUAAUCCGAUACUUGGCUUGUUUGUUGUUCAAAAAGACUCCCCAGUUUUUGUUGUCUCCCCUCUUGUCUUCAUCGAACAGGGAAAAGAUGUAAAUCUCGAUAAACUUCAGUGGCCUUUUCGGGGUACCAGCGUUGCGCACAUGAUGAAUCAAAUUUUUGUUGUGAGUAGCCGCAAUUAAAUUACUAGUGCCUUCUCCUCCUGCUGUUGGCCAUCCGAUUUCAGACACGACCACGUCCAAACCGGCGCCAUUAGCCUUCUUCAGCGCAGAGUAUACACUGUCGACCAUAACAUCGAAUAUAUUCGUGUAGGCAAGCGGUCCAUCUUGCACAACAGGACUUCGACGCUGGAAAGUAGUGUAUUCUAGACGAGGAUCUUGCGAUGUUGUAGUGCUCUUCUGUAGAUCACGAGGAAUGUCACCCUUAUUGUAUAGGUAGCUGUAGUAAGGGUGUAGGUUCACUAGCAAGGGUGUCCUGGUGUUAACCAAGAAACGAAUGACGGGAUCAAAAAAUUGUAGAAACGCUGGAUUGAAUUCGGCUUGGGACGGAGGGGAAGUGUUGACAAGAGCAUCCGAUUGGUCGAUUGCGGUGGUUACUGGGAUAUGAUUAAAUUGCGCAGAUGUGGAUAUUGAGUUCUGGAUGUUGCGCAUAGCCUGAAGGAGAAAAGGCACGUAUUGCGGAGUUCCUGAGAAUUCGUAUGGAGUGACCCCAUUGCCAACAACAAUAUACCUGAAGUUGACAUUCGUGUAAUUCUUGAUGUUUCCUUGGAUCCACUGGUCCGCGUUAUCUUGGCUUGCGGCCACCCAUUGAAGCUCCCUGUUGGGGACACCGAGCAUAACUUCGAUUCCGGUGUUUCCAAGGGAUUGUAAAGCAUUAUGGUCAGGGCCGUAAAGUCUAAUCCUUUUGAUGCCAGCAGAUUGGACAACAGAAACAGCUUCUUGGGCGGAGGGUUGAUUGGUAGCAAAUGUUCCGUAGCACACACCUACUGGCUGCGGUCCUGCUUCCGGGCCAUGUCUUACUGUCGCGCCUAAUUUCAUAAACAGAGAGAGUAGAAUAAAGACAUGAAAUUUAGUUUUAAACAUUAGUUAGAUAGCAACAUGGAUGCAAAAGUACUACUACAUAUUCUGUGAAUUUGUAUACCUGAAGUGGCAUGUAGGAAGGCAAAUAUCGAGUAGAAUAGUAACAGCAGCCGAGAGAGCAUAGUGGUGUUAGAGGCCCGUGGCAUAAUCUGGGUGUAAGUCUAGUUGAGAAUAAUUACAGAGAAAAAUUGUAAUCAUAUAUAUAGACGAAAUAGAUAAGAUCGAGUGUGCGGGAGAUAAGAUCCAGACUGUUCUCAAGUCUGUUGGUAUUACGCAUGCUGCGUGCCGCAUGAAAUUUUUUUGGCCAGGUGUAAGACAUCCAAACUAGAUGAGUGUGCGCGAGUACGUGUGGAGUCACCGUUUGGCAUUUCUAAUAAUACUCUUAAAUUAUUUUUUAAAAAUAAUAUAAUAUAUGAUUUGUAAUAAAUAAUUAUUACAUAGAAUAUUGUUAGAGCUCUAACUCGAUCUAAUUUUUUAUAAUUGCUUUUUAUCCAUAUUCUAUUAUUAUUAUUAUUAGGGAGAAAAGUAAGAGACAGAAUAAGAGAAAAGUGAAUAGACAAUACGUAUAGACGACUAUCACGUCUAUGACCGAUACAAAAUAUUGCUUCGUCAAUUAUCUAUAUCUUAUUUCAUAAAGGGGUAAUUAAGGAGUAAACAUACCAUUUUAUUAAAAGAAAGUGAUCACGUAUAGCUUCUUUUAUUUAGAACCUACAGCCAUACAUGCCAACGUUUAUUAGACAUAAACAUAAUACAUUCAUGUUAUAUUAUCAAAACUGGAAACUGAGCUGAUACUUCGCUUCCUUGUUGUUGUUGAAGACUCCCCAAUGCCUCUCAAAUUCCUCGGAAUCUCUUUUAUUCUCAUCAAACAAAUUGAAGAUAUAAGUCUCGAUACGCUUCUGAGGUCUUUUUGGAGUUCCAUUGUUGAGUACAUGGUUAAUCAACUUGUUGUUAUGGGUUGAUGCAUUUUCAAUAGUAGCCGCGUCACCCCCUUCAGUUGGCCAACCAAUUUCAGACACGACCACGUCUAAAGAUGAUCCACCGGCUUUCUCUAGAGCGGAAUGUACACUAUCAACCAUGGCGUCAAAAACAUUUGUGUAGCCAAGCGGUCCAUCUUGUAUAAUUGGAUCUUGACGUUGGAAAGUAGCAUAUUCAAGGCGUGGAGUUUGUCCGCUGUUGCCAUGUGCAUCCAACUCUGAUGGAAUAUCUGCCUUGUUGUGCACAUAGCUAAAGUAAGGGUGGAGAUUUACCAACAAUGGUACGUUGUUAUUGUUUACUAGAAAUUGGAUAAUGGGGUCAAUAAACUGUCUAACUUCUGGCCUAAAUUGACCCUGUGAUGGUGGACAAGAUUGGAUGAGAAUCUCAGAUUGAUCAAUGGCAGUGGUGACUCUGAUUUUAUUUUGGAACCCACACGCCGAAAUUGCGUUCUGGAUGUUUUGCAUGGCUUGGAGAACAAACUGCGCAAACUGAGAAGUUUGAUCGUGGGCUGGAGUUAUUCCAUUACCAACUACAACGUACCUAAAAUUAACCUCUUGAUAAUUUUUGAUGUUGUCUUGAACCCACUGAUUAGCGUUAUCCUGUGAAGAGGCCACUGAUUGAAGUUGUUCGUUGGGGACGCCAAUCACAACUUCAAUUCUUGUAUUUCUAAGAGAUUGUAAAGCAUUAUGGUCAGGACCAUAUAGUCUCAUUCUUUGAAUCCCAACGGACUGGAUGAGAGAGAUGGCUUCUUGAGCUGUUGGUUGAUUGUCAGCAAAUGUUCCAUAACAUAUACCUACAGGUUGUGCUCCUUGUUGACCGCAAGAUUGUUGUCCUUGUCCUUGUUGGUUUCCACCUUGUUGACAUUGGUUGCUUCCAGCUUGUUGACCUUGUUGUUGUCCCUGUUGAUUUUGGUUACUUCCACCUUGUUGACCUUGUUGACUUUGGUUACUUCCACCUUGUUGUCCUUGGUUGCUUCCACCUUGUUGCCCUUGACCUUGUUGGCUACCACCUUGUUGUUGUCCUUGUUGGCUUCCACCUUGUUGACUUGUCUGACCUUGUUGGUCUCCACCUUGUUGGCCUUGUUGGUUUCCACCUUGUUGACCUUGUUGGCUUCCAUCUUGUUUGCCUUGCUGACCUUGAUUGCUUCCAUCUUGUUGGCCUUGUUGUCCUUGUUGGUUUCCACCUUGCUGGCCUUGAUUGCUUCCAGCUUGUUGGCCUUGUUGUCCUUGUUGGUUUCCACCUUGUUGUCCUUGUUGGCUUCCACCUUCUUGUCCUUGUUGGUUUCCACCUUGUUGUCCUUGCGAUUGACCUUGUUGGCUUUGUUGUCCUUGCUGACCUUGUUGACCGCAUUGGGAUGCCUCUCCUACUUGUUUGCCACAGUUUUGUUGAUCUCCUCCCUGUUGGCUACCUUGUUCGACUUUUGGUGGUUGGUCUUGAUUGCCACCAGGUUGUUGACCACUUCCUUGUUGGGAUCCUGGUUGUUGGACUUGUUGGCCACUAGGCUUUUGACCACUUGGUUGCUGGCUACAAGGUUGUUGGCCUCCAACUUCUUGUCCGCAUGUUGGUUGGGCUCCAACUUGUUGUUCGUUAAGCAGACGAGAACCUGCUUUAAUUAAAUAUACAAGCAAAUUAUGAUACUUAUAUAAAAUGAUAUAAUCAUUAAUUACAUAACCAAGUUAUUAUAAUAUAUUCCUAUGCAUUUGCAUAGAAAUGAAAUUACUAUUAAUCCGAGGAGUUUAGUGAUACACGUACCUGUAGUAAUAUGCAAAGACCCGGUGACAAGUAAGGAAAGUAAAAGUAACACAAGAGGGAUCUUGGAAUGCAUUUUAUUUAAGAACUUGAGGCUAGUUCUAAUGGUGUUUUUUAUAUAGAGGAAACGUUAUUUUUUUUUCUUAUGAUGAUAUGCAUAUAAGUGCGUCCUAUUUAUAGGGUAAUGGAUAAUGUACCUGGCCAAUAUUAUGGGCAUAUUAACUUGGCAGGCAAAGAGGGACAGAUGGCAUGCAUGCAGGGUUGUUUGUUAUAUGAGAAGUAACGUGUUUAAGUUUCUUUUAGUAUGUGGCUUGUUCUCUCACAAAAGUGAUAGCUAUGAACUUAUGAUAAACUCUAAUGAGUUGUACACACCAAAGUUGUUCACAUGCAUACAGGGUUAUUUACUAUAUGAGAAGUUACGUGUUUAAGUUUCUUUUAGUAUGUGGCUUGUUCUCUCAAAUAAGCGAUAGCUAUGAGCUUAUGAUAAACUCUAAUGAGUUGUAUACACCAAAGUUGUUCACAUUAAUUUGUAUCUUAGAUUCGGAUUUUUUCUAAAAUUGAAAUAUAUGUGGCAAAGUGAACAAAUGACAGCUAUGGCUUAAGUCGUAUUUUUUCUAAAAUUAGAAUACAUGUGGCGAACUGACCAAGUCUUUCGAAAAAGAAGCCAAUUUCAACAAGAAAUACUAUUAUUCCUUUUUCUUCCUCCAUUCACCGCGUGAUAAUUUAAGAUAUGAAUUCGUCAAAUACAGAUGACAAUUCUUUGCCAAACUCUCCUAAAUUUCCGUCUUAUAUGGGUAGCACUAAAUCAACCAAGGAAAAAGUAAGAUCAGCAAGCACCCCGAGACACAGGUUAGGACAUGAUGAGCCUUUUGCUGUUCAGAAUUCAGUAUGUCAUAGUUCUAAGCUCUCUUCUUGGUCUUCUGUUGAUGGGGAAAUUGCCGGUAUCACUAGAAAGAGUAGUACCUGAUAUCACUUCUUCCUGAUCAACAGUAAUUAUAUCAAGUGGUUUCCAUGUUCAGUUAUUGAUGUGAUUUCUGUGCUGUUAGAAUUCAAUCUAAAGGGCGCUUCUUAAAGUCGCAAUGUGAAGUGUACCAACGUUGUGAAAAGUUCCAUUUACUGGUAAAAGACAGGCCUUUUUGAGACAAUGACAUUGUAACAGUUUGUUUUCUUGCUGCUCUUAGUUAUAUAGUUUAUGUGAGCGAAAUAAUGAGAGGACUCAUUAUAAUGAACCUUGACAAACAAAAUGAUAAUUGAUCAUUACAUAGAUAACUCAUCAGAAUGAAACUAGCUCACUGGCUACUCGCGGAAUACAUAACUUGCAAAAGCAUUACAAUAUUAUAAAAAUGUAUAGUAAAAAAUUUUAUAAUGUCAAAUUUUUUUAAAAUAUUUAUUUCGAAAUUCUUUUAUAAUAUAACUACUUGUAAAAAUGAAUUUCAAAAUUAUAGGCAAAAGUAUAUCAUAGAUUAAUAUAGUCGAAAAAAUAUUAUAAGAAAUAAAAUAAUGUUUAUAAUAUUGUAAUAUAAAUUCAAUUUUAUAAAUAAUCUAGAAAUUAUUAUGUAAAGCAUUUUAUAUGAUAAAAUACACGUGAGAAGACCUGGCUUACUGGAUUCUCGUGCGACGGGUAACUCGGAAAAGCAGAUAACGUCAGUAACGUUGGUUAGAGAUUAACCGUCAAAGCAAGUAGUCCAACAGCGUCGGUUAAAGGUUAACCGUAGCAUAAGAUAGAGCCUUUAGCGUCGGUUGUUAAAUAACCGACGCUAUAGACACUUUAAAGCGUUGCCAUAAAAAUAACCGACGCCUUUGAGAGGUAUAAGCGUCAGUUUAAUAUCCAACCGACGCAGUUGAUCCAGCCAAGAUGACAAAAGGUGUCGGUUAAAGUAAAAACCAACGCAAUUGAAUACUAUAAGCCACGGUUCUUUGUAAACCGACGCUGAAAGUGCGACGCCAAAAAUGUAUUUUGUACUAGUUUAAUAUUUCUGAUACUGUGUUUUUGAGUUCAGAAAUUAAAAUGGAACUGAAUACACUACAAAAGUUGAAGCCAUUGGUAGCAUCUUAUUAAGAAGUGGUCACGUACAAUCCUCGGAGAUACAUGUUCAAACUUUAUUAUACAUACAAACUGUUACAUGUCCACUAAUAUCAGUUACUGUCUUUAAAAGUUGAUCCGGUACUUGGCUUGUUUAUUAUUCCAGAAGAUGCCCCAGUGCCUCAGAUUCUCUUCGCUCUUCCUGUCCUCAUCAAACAUAGAAAAGAUGUAAGUCUCUAUACGCUUCUUAGGCCUCUUCGGUGUUCCACUGUUGCGUACAUGCCUAAUCAAGUUACUGUUGUGAGUCGCCGCGUUUUGAUUGCUCGCUGCAGGUCCUCCGGCUGCAGGCCAUCCAACUUCAGAAACCACAAUGUCUAAGGAGUUUCCACCCACCUUCUCCAUUGCAGAGUGUACACUAUCAACCAUGGCGUCAAAUGCAUUCGUGUACCUCAGCCAUGCAUCUUGUACCAACAUGUCGGAAGACCUCAUGAGAGCGUAAUCAAGACGAGCGUCUCGGUUGCCUUUACCCUUGUUGAUUUGUAGAGGAAUGUCUUGCUUAUUGUGGAUGUAGCUGAAGUAGGGGUGAAAGUUAACUAGCAACGGAGUGUUGCCGUUUUUGACAAGGAACUGAAUAAUCGGCUGAAUAAAUUGUCGAACUUCGGGCCUGAAGUUGCCACUUGAAGGAGGGAAAGAUUGGGAUAGGACUUCUGAUUGAUCGAUGGCGGUGGAGACUCUAAUUCUGUUCUGUAAUCCAAACGCCGAAAGAGCGUUGCGAAUGUUU